UACCAGGUCUUGACAUCCAGUGCAAACCUAAGAGAUUAGGUGUUCCCUUCGGGGACGCUGAGACAGGUGGUGCAUGGCUGUCGUCAGCUCGUGUCGUGAGAUGUUGGGUUAAGUCCCGCAACGAGCGCAACCCUUGUCAUUAGUUGCCAUCAUUAAGUUGGGCACUCUAAUGAGACUGCCGGUGACAAACCGGAGGAAGGUGGGGAUGACGUCAAGUCAUCAUGCCCCUUAUGACCUGGGCUACACACGUGCUACAAUGGACGGUACAACGAGAAGCGAACCUGCGAAGGCAAGCGGAUCUCUUAAAGCCGUUCUCAGUUCGGACUGUAGGCUGCAACUCGCCUACACGAAGCUGGAAUCGCUAGUAAUCGCGGAUCAGCACGCCGCGGUGAAUACGUUCCCGGGCCUUGUACACACCGCCCGUCACACCAUGAGAGUCUGUAACACCCAAAGCCGGUGGGAUAACCUUUAUAGGAGUCAGCCGUCUAAGGUAGGACAGAUGAUUAGGGUGAAGUCGUAACAAGGUAGCCGU
rnacentral:rRNA from 1 species